rnacentral:rRNA from 1 species
UACGAAGGGAGCUAGCGUUGUUCGGAAUCACUGGGCGUAAAGCGCACGUAGGCGGAUGUGUCAGUCAGGGGGUGAAAUCCCGGAGCUCAACUUCGGAACUGCCUUUGAUACAGCACAUCUGGAGUCCGGAAGAGGUGGGUGGAAUUCCUAGUGUAGAGGUGAAAUUCGUAGAUAUUAGGAAGAACACCGGUGGCGGAAGGCGGCCCACUGGUCCGGUACUGACGCUGAGGUGCGAAAGCGUGGGGAGCAAACAGGAUUAGAACCGUACCGU